CAUCGCCGUCGUCGUCGUUUUCGUUUCUCGCCUUCGUGUGUGUACUUUUCGUGUUCGUUUUUCUGCGCUGUCGUGUUUCGUGCGAAAAAUCUUGUGAAAAACUUAUUUUCUUUCCCAAAAUAAUCUUUCAAAAAAACCCAAAUUCCUUUAAUUUUAUUGCAUUUUCUAGUAAAAAUAAUAAAAAGAAAGACACUGCUAUUGGGACGAAGUCGAAAACGAAUGGCAUUUGCAAAAAUGCCUCACAAAUAAAAGAAAAUUGAAAAAUUAAAUUUUCUCAAAGAAUAAAAGAAACAAGAAAAAAAAAACACAUCUAACGUGAAUGUGCGCCGUGUCGUCGUCGUUUCGUUGUCGUCGUCGUCGUCGUUAGUCUAUUUGUACGUGCAAGUGUCAUGUCGUAGUGAAAAAUAUUUUAAAAUUAAAAUAGAAAAUUUAUACCAAAAAAGAGGAAAAGCUAAAUAAAAGUUUUUAGUUUUCGAUUGUAAUGUGCACCCAAGCGAAGGUGAAGACGAAUUUUCCAUUUUAAUUGCUCGGCCAUAACAGAAAUACAAAAAAAACAACAACCAAAGCUAAUUUUCCAAUAAGAAGAAAUAGCAAGUAAAAUAAAAAAAAGUAAGAUUGAGCGAGGGCGGCAGUAACAUACGGCGGCGGUUCAUACGUAACACCACACAAAGGAACCCCACCCCCUCCAACCACGCAUAAGAGGAAACACAAUUUGUGUCCUUGUGCUCCUGCGGCAUAUUAUUAGAUUCAUAUAUCACGCAGCAGCAAUCAUGGACAACGACGGCAUCAGUCGCGGUCCUCAGCCUGGCGCUGAGAUUGUCUAUGGCACGGAGGAUAACAACAUGGUCAUGUCGGAGAAGAAUGAACAGGUUGUGAGCAUCGUACAACAAUUAGCCAGUAGUAUCUACCAGGAAUUUGAACGUAUGAUAAAUCGUUACGACGAGGAUGUCGUAAAGAAUCUCAUGCCACUUUUGGUAAAUGUAUUAGAGUGCUUAGAUGCAUCAUAUAGAAUUAAUCAGGAGCAAGAUGUCGAGGUGGAGUUACUUCGAGAGGAUAAUGAACAGCUAGUCACACAAUAUGAAAGGGAAAAGAGUGCAAGAAAACAAUCAGAGCAAAAGCUCUUGGAAGCGGAAGACUUAGCCGAAGCAGAAAAUAAGGAACUAGCAAGUAGAUUAGAGUCAUUAGAAAGUAUUGUUAGAAUGCUUGAGUUAAAGCACAAGAAUAGUUUGGAACAUUCUAGUCGAUUGGAAGAAAGAGAAGGUGAUCUUAAAAAGGAAUAUAAUAAAUUACAUGAGCGCUAUACGGAGCUUUUUAAAACACAUGUGGAUUAUAUGGAACGUACAAAAAUGUUAAUGGGUUCAACCCAUUCACAGAUGAGUUCGGCUUCAGAUAGACAAGAAGUUAGCAGAGCUAGGCUUAAUCCAAUUGUUAGUUUUAUUGACAUUUGUAGAUCGUCUGGACCCGUUUCAUAUGGUUUCACAUCGUUAGAGAAUUCAACUAUGUUGGACACGGAAACAAUUUGCAGUGGAGGAAGCAAUUCCGACGAUUCUGGCCCACCAUCACUUCAAAAUGAAUUGGAAAGUAUUCACACUAUGGAACGUUCCGCCGAAACAGACACCCUUCAUCACAUCAAUCAAGCAACAUCGCCUCAAAGUGAUGAAUGUCCACCAAUUGUGCCAAAUAUUACAUCUAAUGUUGGUCGAACUACAACCAAAAAGGAACAACGCUCCGCAAACACACUCUAUCAAGAGCUAUCAUUUCAGGACAAUGAAGAGAGUGAAGAGCAUGAAGUCACAGGCAGCUGGGUGCAUCCUGGGGAAUACGCUUCUUCAGCUAAUGAUAAUUAUUUUGGUAUGGGAAAAGAAGUCGAAAACCUCAUCAUGGAAAACAAUGAACUUCUUGCAACCAAAAAUGCUCUUAACAUCGUUAAAGACGAUCUAAUUGUAAAAGUUGAUGAACUCACCGGUGAAAUAGAAAUUCUUCGAGAGGAACUAAAUGCGAUGUCGCAAUCACGUAAUAAACUUCGACAGAAAGUGGGCGAGUUGGAAGAUGAACUCAAGAAGACCAAAGAACAAGUCAAACAACAGAAUGACACAGAACAAGAAGAAAGUGAUGUUCCGAUGGCCCAACGUAAGCGUUUCACACGAGUCGAAAUGGCUAUGGUGCUUAUGGAGAGAAAUCAAUACAAAGAACGUUUAAUGGAACUUCAAGAAGCUGUCCGUUUAACGGAAAUCAUUCGUGCUACUAAAACCAUAGAGAAACCCAAACAAGGCAUUUGGAAGUAUUUUAAUAAUCUUUUCACCUCUUCGAACCGACCCCAAGAACGGGACCCCGGGCAGGGAGGGGGGCCCAUGUUUCGCUACAACAGCCCCUCUCACAGUCACGGAUCCCCCAGUCGAAGUAGCGAGCAUCGCCUUGCCAUAACAUCAGGCAAUCAUCCACCUGCUAGUGCCGGACUAGCAAAUGCCCUGAUAUUAGCUAAGGAUUUUAGCGAGGAAGGGACAUCAGAGCGUGCAAACGCUCGUAGAAAAGAGCAAUACCGCCAAUUGAGGGCACACGUCCAAAAGGAAGACGGUAGAUUGCAUGCGUAUGGCUGGAGUUUGCCGAUUAACAAAUCGAGCCAAGAACAACACAAUCGGCAUUCGGGUGCAGUACCAGUUCCGGUUUAUUGUAAUCCUUUGGCUGAAGCUAGUCCGCACAUGAAGGUAUUUUGCGCCGCUGGGGUCAACCUAAAUGGGGGCUUCAAUAAGGAUGGUGGUUCUGUGAUAGGAGCGACUAUUUUCUAUUCGAGACCGACGGCGAAAAUUACCGAGAUCACAAGUCCAACAGUGGAGCAUAGUGGUCAGGAGUCACUGGAACGCCAGCUAAAUAUGUCUCUGGAUGGAGAAGACCCAGAAAUUCAGUUGAGUUCGUAUGUGUGGGUGUGUACAAGUACACAUGCUGCCAGCACAGUAACUGUUGUGGAUGCUAAUGAGCCAGCGAACGUGCUGGACGCGUUCCCCAUUUGUCAGUCUCAUUUACUGUGCAUUGCAUCGGUGCCAGGUGCCAUGGAAAAAGACUACGCAUUGCUGGAGAAUUCAGAAGUAAUAAAGGCUGGAGAGACGCUAGAGAAGCCAGGUGAGGGACCAGAAAUGCUGGGAAAUGUGGAAUUCAUCAGAGUCCGACCGAAACCAGAUCAAAAUCGGAAUACAGAAACCAAAGAAAAUGAAGAAACUGGCUUGAGUUCAACCAAUGGAAGCGUUGAAGUGGAGGAAAAAGCCAAAGAGGCAGUAGAGAAAUCAAAUUCUAACGAAAGCGACGAAGCCGUUGCAGUAGAAGAGGCUAAAAUUCCACCCUCGUCACCUCUGCAUCAUUUUGUCCUGGGAGGUGAUGUCGCGACCACCAACGGAGUGGCAGAAACCACUACGAAUAACAACAAUUCGAGUUCACCAUUAGCAUUUUCAAGACCGGUCAAUCCGAUCUUAGGUACUCAGGAUCGACAGAAUGAGCCUCCAAUGACAUCCGUUGGCCCGACAAUGUGGUUGGGCGCCCAGGACGGUAUGCUCUAUGUGCACAGUAGCGUGGGUCGGUGGCAUGAGUGUCUGCACAAAGUGCUGCUUCCCGAUGCUGUUCUGGGCAUAGUGCACGUUGAAUCUCGGGUGGUAGUUGCUCUGGCGAAUGGACAGCUGGCUGUUUUUCGUCGCCAGACAGAUGGUCAAUGGGACCUCAACAGCUAUCACCUGGUAACGCUGGGUGACCAGCAUCAGUCGAUUCGGUGCUUGUGUGUAGUGGCCGAUAAGAUUUGGGCUGCACACCGCAAUAAGAUCCACAUUGUGGAUCCUAUUUCGCUCAAUGUGAUCCAUACGUUGGAGGCUCAUCCGAGAAAAGAGAGUCAAGUGCGGCAGAUGGCUGCCACAGGACUAGGAGUGUGGGUUUCAAUAAGAUUGGACUCCACACUACGGCUAUAUCAUGCCCAUACAUUCGAACACAUCCAAGAUGUAGAUAUUGAACCGUACGUAUCGAAAAUGCUCGGCACGGGAAAAUUGGGCUUCUCGUUUGUAAGAAUCACAGCUCUUAUGGUCUCGUGCAAUCGUCUGUGGAUUGGAACAAGCAAUGGAGUGAUUAUAUCGGUACCGCUAACCGAAGGACCAUUAAAGCCAUCGUCCAAUGGAAUGAUCCCAAGAUGUGGUAUGGCCAAUGCUCAAUUAUCCUUCCAUGGCCAUCGGGAUGCAGUUAAAUUUUUCGUUUCGGUGCCGAUGUCACAAGAGCCGUGUAAUCAAUUACAGCAAUUUACAAAUAAACGGCCCGAUAUGCUGGUCAUGUGUGGCGGAGAGGGAUAUAUUGAUUUUAGACAAGAAAAGCAUGCUGAAGAUGCAAGCGACAAUGCGGCACAUUUGAUAGUUUGGCGAGUCUAUACAAUUUACAAUUUAUGAAUCAGAUCUCUGAUUUUUAAAAGUUUAAAAUAGUGCGAUACACACUAGAAAUUAAGAAAAAAUAAAAAGAGACAGAGAGAAAAAGAGAGAUGAGACAAAAACUGCUAAAUUUGUUGACAUCGAAAGGAUUUGAAGUAAUACAAGAAAAAAAAAAGGUGACAAUGACAUGGAGAGCAGUAUUCGCUUGGAACCCAAUCAGACUAUUGAAAACCGAGGUGAUAAGAGCUACUUGAUUGUGUGGCAUGUAAGUCAGCGUUAGGCAUGAUAUUUUCUACACAACCCUGCCACACUUUUUUCCCACAUUUUGACAAAAAAAAACAAA